UACGUAGGGGGCUAGCGUUGUCCGGAAUCAUUGGGCGUAAAGCGCGUGUAGGCGGUCCGGUAAGUCCGCUGUGAAAGUCGAGGGCUCAACCCUCGAAUGCCGGUGGAUACUGUCGGGCUUGAGUACGGGAGAGGCGAGUGGAAUUCCUGGUGUAGCGGUGAAAUGCGCAGAUAUCAGGAGGAACACCGGUGGCGAAGGCGGAUCUCUGGGCCGAUACUGACGCUGAGGAGCGAAAGCGUGGGGAGCGAACAGG
rnacentral:rRNA from 1 species